GACGAACGCUGGCGGCGUGCCUAACACAUGCAAGUCGAACGGAGCUUUGAGAGCUUGCUCUUAAAGCUUAGUGGCGAACGGGUGAGUAACGCGUGAGCAACCUGCCUUUCAGAGGGGGACAACAGUUGGAAACGACUGCUAAUACUGCAUAAUGUCAUCUGGGGACAUCCCCUAAUGACCAAAGGAGCAAUCCGCUGAAAGAUGGGCUCGCGUCUGAUUAGCUAGAUGGCGGGGUAACGGCCCACCAUGGCGACGAUCAGUAGCCGGACUGAGAGGUUGAUCGGCCACAUUGGGACUGAGAUACGGCCCAGACUCCUACGGGAGGCAGCAGUGGGGAAUAUUGGGGCAAUGGGCGAAAGCCUGACCCAGCAACGCCGCCGUGAGGGAAGAAGGUCUUCGGAUUGUAAACCUCUUUUUACCAGGGUACGAAGAACGUGACGGUACCUGGAGAAAAGCAACGG
rnacentral:rRNA from 1 species